rnacentral:rRNA from 1 species
AUUGAACGCUGGCGGCAGGCCUAACACAUGCAAGUCGAACGAGUGGCGGACGGGUGAGUAAUGUCUGGGAAACUGCCUGAUGGAGGGGGCUAACUACUGGAAACGGUAGCUAAUACCGCAUACCAUCGGAUGUUCCCAGAUGGGAUUAGAUAGUAGGUGGGGUAAGGGCUCACCUAGGCGAAGAGCCCUAGCUGGUCUGAGAGGAUGACCAGCCACACUGGAACUGAGACACGGUCCAGAUUCCUACGGGAGGAAGCAGGGGGGAAUAUUGCACAAUGGGCGAAAGCCUGAUGCAGCCAUGCCGCGUGUAUGAAGAAGGCCUUCGGGUUGUAAAGUACUUUCAGGCGGGAGGCGUUACCGACAGAAGAAGCACCGGCUAACUCCGUGCCAGCAGCCGCGGUAAUAC